rnacentral:rRNA from 1 species
GACGAACGCUGGCGGCACGCUUAACACAUGCAAGUCGAACGAAGAUGUUUCACCGUAGCUUGCUACACCGAGACAUUUUAGUGGCGGACGGGUGAGUAACACGUGAGCAAUCUGCCUUUCAGAGGGGGAUACCAGUUGGAAACGACUGUUAAUACCGCAUAACAUAUCGAGAUCGCAUGAUAUUGAUAUCAAAGAUUUAUCGCUGAAAGAUGAGCUCGCGUCUGAUUAGAUAGUUGGUGAGGUAACGGCUCACCAAGUCGACGAUCAGUAGCCGGACUGAGAGGUUGGACGGCCACAUUGGGACUGAGACACGGCCCAGACUCCUACGGGAGGCAGCAGUGGGGAAUAUUGCACAAUGGGCGCAAGCCUGAUGCAGCGAUGCCGCGUGAGGGAAGAAGUUUUAGGAUUGUAAACCUCUGUCUUCGAGGGACGAUAAUGACGGUACCUGAGGAGG